rnacentral:rRNA from 1 species
GAUGAACGCUGGCGGCGUGCCUAAUACAUGCAAGUCGAGCGAACAGACGAGGAGCUUGCUCCUCUGACGUUAGCGGCGGACGGGUGAGUAACACGUGGAUAACCUACCUAUAAGACUGGGAUAACUUCGGGAAACCGGAGCUAAUACCGGAUAAUCUAUUGAACCGCAUGGUUCAAUAGUGAAAGACGGUUUUGCUGUCACUUAUAGAUGGAUCCGCGCCGCAUUAGCUAGUUGGUAAGGUAACGGCUUACCAAGGCAACGAUGCGUAGCCGACCUGAGAGGGUGAUCGGCCACACUGGAACUGAGACACGGUCCAGACUCCUACGGGAGGCAGCAGUAGGGAAUCUUCCGCAAUGGGCGAAAGCCUGACGGAGCAACGCCGCGUGAGUGAUGAAGGUCUUCGGAUCGUAAAACUCUGUUAUUAGGGAAGAACAAAUGUGUAAGUAACUAUGCACGUCUGGACGGUACCUAAUCAGAAAGCCACGGCUAACUACGU